GCGACCCCAGGUCACGCGGGGCCACCCGCUGAGUU
rnacentral:rRNA from 1 species